GGGACGAACGCUGGCGGCGUGCUUAACACAUGCAAGUCGAACGGUAAGGCCCCUUCGGGGGUACACGAGUGGCGAACGGGUGAGUAACACGUGAGCAACCUGCCCUUGACUCUGGAAUAACAGUUGGAAACAGCUGCCUAAUACCGGGUAUGACAUGUCCCCGCAUGGGGGUGUGUGGAAAGCCCUGGCGGUCAAGGAUGGGCUCGCGGCCUAUCAGCUAGUUGGUGAGGUAAUGGCUACACCAAGGCUUCGACGGGUA
rnacentral:rRNA from 1 species